rnacentral:tRNA from 1 species
GUACCCUUAGCUCAGUUGGUUAGAGCAGACGGCUCAUAACCGUCCGGUCGUAGGUUCGAGUCCUAAAGGGUACA